CUACGGGGCGCACCAGUGAGGAAUAUUGCACAAUGGGGGGAACCCUGAUGCAGCAACGCCGCGUGGAGGAUGACGCAUUUCGGUGUGUAAACUCCUUUUAUAUGUCAAGAAAAUGACGGUAGCAUAUGAAUAAGCACCGGCUAACUCCGUGCCAGCAGCCGCGGUAAUACGGAGGGUGCAAGCGUUACUCGGAAUCACUGGGCGUAAAGGACGCGUAGGCGGGUUAUCAAGUCAGGUGUGAAAUCCUACAGCUUAACUAUAGAACUGCACUUGAAACUGGUAACCUAGAGUAUGGGAGGGGCAGAUGGAAUUAGGGGUGUAGGGGUAAAAUCCGUAGAUAUCACUAGGAAUACCUAAAGCGAGGGCGAUCUGCUGGAACAUAACUGACGCUAAGGCGUGAAAGCGUGGGGAGCAAACAGGAUUAGAUACCCUCGUAGUC
rnacentral:rRNA from 1 species